rnacentral:lncRNA from 1 species
GAAAAAUCUAGAAGGCAUCUCCUUCCAUGCUCUUUUAUUAUUUUUUAUGUGACCAUUUAUGUUUAGGAAUCAGAUUGAGGGGAUGCAGAGGCCCAAAUCAACUACUGCAGUAUGGCUGGCAAUCUCAGAGAGAUGACGACCUGCCAAAUUCCCGACACACAGGCGGAUGUGUGGGAGCUCCAUAAAGGCCCUUUGAUGAUGCUGAUGCAAGUGGGCCUGGAAGUUCUCAACCUCAAAGUGAACUAGGGAGCCUGUGAUGUUACUUCAGGCACAUCCUGCCCCGACAUAGGACAGCCUCAGAGAUAGGUCAUUUCCCUUCUAAACGUCUGCAGUUACCUCAUAGCCCUGGGAAGGCUUUCCUUUCCCCGGAGCCUCCGGAGGAAGAGAAAGGCGCAUAUUUGGAGCAUGUGCGGGAGUUGCUCUGAGCUUUUGCAGAAGGCUGACUCUUUGGACGAGCGGGAGGGAACCGUAACACCAGCUGUCGGCAUAGCCAACUGUUUCGUUUCACAAGAAGACCACAGAUCGGAGUUAAAAAUACCAGACUUCAGCUGAAGAGGGCUAAAGGAACAAAAAGAUAAUCUCUUAACAAACAACGGGGACAACAAUGGAUUUAAUAAGCCCUGAGCAAUUCAGGAGUCUUAUUAAAAAAUGACUCAAUGAAAUAUGAUAUGGCUCUUUGGCUAUUUGUGAUUAAUUUGUUAACCCAGAGGAUGUCUCGGCAGGUGCCCUCCCUAUUAUCACGUGAACCAAUGCCCAUUUAGUUGGAGGUCAGAAACAUGUAAAUUUUUUUUAAUGUCAUUCCUCUUGCUGCUCUGUGAUGUGAGAUUUGGUAAAUUGUUUAAGACUUCUGCAAAUCCACCUUUCUUUUCACUGCUCAGACUAUCUUAGCUGUACUGGAAUGAAUAGCAUGCUAAUGGAAUUCGGGCCCCCUCUGUAGAAGGCAGAUGCAUCUUGCCGCCCCAGCAUCUCUGGGAUUCAGGCAUAGCCAAGUGGUUAAAGUGUUUAGCAUGCAGCUCGGUUCUGAGUGGACUUGGAAGCAUUUAGAUAUUCCACUUUACUAUUAUAUAUUUUUUUUAAGUCUAUACAGCUUCAAAUGAAAUGCAAAACAGCAGCUGUAGGUAGCAGCAGCCCCUUUCCCUGUCACGGUGGGGGGAGGGAACGUGCCUGAAAUGCAUAAUGAAAAGG